UAGGGAAUCUUCGGCUAUGGGGGGAACCCUGACCGAGCAACGCCGCGUGAGUGAAGAAGGUUUUCGGAUCGUAAAGCUCUGUUGUUAAGGAAGAACGAGUGUGAGAAUGGAAAGUUCAUACUGUGACGGUACUUAACCAGAAAGGGACGGCUAACUACGUGCCAGCAGCCGCGGUAAUACGUAGGUCCCGAGCGUUGUCCGGAUUUAGUGGGCGUAAAGCGAGCGCAGGCGGUUAGAUAAGUCUGAAGUUAAAGGCAGUGGCUCAACCAUUGUAGGCUUUAGAAACUGUUUAACUUGAGUGCAGAAGGGGAGAGUGGAUUUCCAUGUGUAGCGGUGAAAUGCGUAGAUAUAUGGAGGAACACCGGUGGCGAAAGCGGCUCUCUGGUCUGUAACUGACGCUGAGGCUCGAAAGCGUGGGUAGCAAACAGG
rnacentral:rRNA from 1 species